rnacentral:lncRNA from 1 species
AUUUCAGUAACGCUCUGGGACAAUAAUUUACACUAGAAAAACGAAACGUGCGAUCCUUAAAUUCUGUUACAUUUAAAAUAGAAAGUUAACAGUCACAAUAAUUGUACACCCAUCGUUUCUGACCAAUUGGAAACAUCGUUCGGACCGUUAAUCACUGCCUGUGUUGGGUUUCAUGCGUCAUGCUAAUGGCCGUUCUAUCCGCUCGAUGUAUUUAUUUCUAUGAGAAAUCAAGAGGGAAAAGGCUGAGUAUGAAUCUGUCAUCUGGCGAAUUCACCGCGUGUCGGCCGAUGCGGAGGCGUUUUCCAUGAAUCCCUGCUGCACUACAGUAUGUGCAGGAGGCCUACAACUUAACAGGGGCCUCAAACAGGGAGGAGACCAUGAACCUCAACGAGAAGAAGCCCAACAAGUGGUGGACAGAACCGGACACGUUUGCCAUGCUGGCCCUAAUAGAGCAGCUGGAUCUGGUCCACGAGCUGGAUAAGAAGCGUCAGCGCAACGAAUCCCUCUUCCGACGCCUCAGGCUGAGUCUGGCAAAGCGGGGAAUCCACUUCACUGUCACCCAAAUCCGAAACCGUUGGAAGAGUCUCAAACACAAGUACCGUAAGAUCAAACUGGCCAGCUACCGAAGUCCAGCCGCUCGCCUCUCUGCCAUCGAGUCUUUCCGCUACUUCCAUAUGCUGGAUCACAUGUUGGUGCGCAGACCGAAGGCGGGAGGCAGGGAGGACGACCUCACAGAUGCUCACGCCCUGCUAGGACGGUCACUCGUGGACCUGGAUGACCAUGCAGACAGUCCUUGGCCUGAAGGCAUAAUCCCUAAAUCUGAGCCCGAGAGCAUGUCUUCUAAACUUGAACCUGAUGUUGACGACAGUCUGAAUCCAGAUGACGUGGCUGGUUCUGAGCCUCCAAGCUGGGCUGUAGGACCAGAUGAAGUUAUGACCCUGGGCUUGUCAGGAGAAUACCUCUAUGCAGUGAAGACCGAGCCACCAUCCCUAUGCACUCCCAACAGCACAGAAAGUACAAGAGAUGCUGUUGACUGCAGCUACAAUGAUUUCCCAGGAACUUCUGAAGAGACUAGCAGCCUGAUCCUCCAGCAGCUAACCAUCCUGAACCACCGGCUUGGAGAACAGCUGGCUGAGCAGAGAGCCUUCCACUGCAGCAUGCUGGGAAUGAUGGAUCGCCAGAUCCAGGUCCUGGAGCAGCUCUCCAAUUUCACCAGGAACCAUCAAUCCAAGCUUGAGACGCCAGACACGGACUCUUCAGUCAGUCCAAAUGUGCAUGAAGCUCAAACGCAGACUUUUGAGCCAUAUCCCACGUUCCUCAUGCCCAAAAGCGAACCAGCAGCUGCUCCUUGGAAGGUCUCCCUCUUGGAAGUCCACAAGAGGUCAACACACAGUGACACUGAGACUCCUCAAACCCUGGAAGGGUGCAAAGCAAACACCUCUAGCCCACCACCUUUAGAGAUUUCGUCCUCAACCAAGAACACUAUUGUGCUGAAUGGAUUGUGUAAGCACGAUUGAGUGCUGCUUGUUUGGGACGUUACACAUUCAGUAGGAACAACAAAAGUCUUUUGUUCUGUAGAUGUUUCAGGUGGUGGUCUGAUCUGAAACAUCAACAUAUGCGUUUUUCAGUUUCAUAGGAAAGUAUUCAGUGCUCUGAUGUUUUAAUCAGUAACACUUUUGAGAAAUAGAACAAUAGACUCAUUAUUUAUUUACUUUGGUUUGUUUGCCAACUAACACUCGAUGUGAAUCUUAGAUGGUAAGUAACUUAACAGUGACUGUUUCAAAAUUGCAGUUCGGACCAAGGUAGCUUUAUGUCUGUAAUCAUCUUGCAUUAUCUGAGAAAAAAGUGGGUUAUUGGUAAGCUUAAAGUUGUGUAAAAUAUCAGUUUCUUCCAAUUAGGUUUGGGACACACUUUUAAGGCUGAUUUUAACAAAAGAAGGUGUGUUAUCAUGAAUUUCAUCAUCUAAUCUGAACUCAUGUGGUUAAGUAUGAACUUAUAAGUCUGUUAAUUUCAAUAACUGCUUGCCUCUUAUUAUAAAGUAAUAUUUCACUGAUAUGUGUCAUAGUAUUUUUGACAUGCUAAAUCAAUCAGGGUUGGGAUGUAACGCCACUAAGUCCAGCGA